AAAUGAUGAAAAUGCCCUUUGGACCAAUCAGGGGUCAAAGUGAUUAAAUCUCGUCCAAACAACUUCAAAACUAUGAUGUACGCACUGUCGACAUCAAAACAUGACCAUUGACACCCAUUGUCCAAAAGUCACUAAUUGGGUCCUAUGGGCCCCGCAUGUCCAACCGACAUUCUAAAAAUCCGUCUCGGGCCCAUGACCUCAAAUUUCGCAUCCCGUUGCGCCAAUGGACUCUAAAUAGUCCCAACAUCAUCUUGCAUCAAUUUGGGCCCGAAUCAACGGUCAGAUCAUUCUAGAUCACACUAUCACGCACGAUCGAACAGUGAUCACUCGCUUAACUUCAAAACACAAUAACUUAAGACCAAUCUGAACCUACAGACUCCUCUCAACACCAGCUACAAUAUAUAUAAAAUUAGAGACGAUCCAAUGUUUCGAUCAUCUUUGAUCCAACGGUACAACUUCAGAGGCUCCGAUCAUCGUUAAAUGACAGGAUCUUAACCACCCGAGAACACCACUGCACUCAACCAGUGGCAGAUCUAGAAAUUUUCUCUUUGGGGUCAAUGUAUAAAAGCUCGCAAAUUUUUUAAAUAACUCUACAAUGCAUCAUAUUAACAUUAACCAAUCUACAAAGAUUGAACACCUAAAGUAAGCAACAUUAAACUUAUCACCC
rnacentral:lncRNA from 1 species